AUUUUACAGUGAAGGUCGCCCCUGCAAUAGUACAGAUGGCAACUGUGUAAACUGACCUGGGUUUAUGUAUUUAUUCAUGUUCCAGACCAUGGCCCUUCACAGACUAUCCUUGAGAUUACGACAAACGAAUAAUGGUGACGACAUCAAAACGAUGAAAAGCUCAAAAGCUCUGGACACUUGCCAUUCUCUCAACCAGCUUCAUGACAUCGUCACCUGGAAUGCAUUUCAAUCGAGAGGUGUACCUUGGGAGUGUCUCGUGUGAAGAGCAGCAGUGAUGUGGUGGGGGGUG